rnacentral:SRP_RNA from 1 species
UGCAGCCGGGGAGAUAGCGGUGCCCUGUACCUGCAAUCCGCUACAGCAGGGGUGAUGUUUUGUCUCGGACGUCUGGUUGUGAUGCAGCCUUUUAUAAGUGAUGUUGACGUUUUGGUCUUACGCAACGGAACUUCGUGAACCGUGUCAGGUCAGGAAUGGAGCAGCACUAAGCGAAAUCUUCCGUGUGCCGUGAGGGUGCCGGGACCGAGUUAACUGUAAGAGUA